UAGGCUCAAUUGAACCCAAGCCUGGUUUGGUUUGGUUUGGUUUUGGGGUGCCCCAAUUCCCACCAGCUGAGAAUCACUUUCAGGGGGAGGCUUGGGGGUGUUAUAAACUGCUGGUGCAUGGGACUGGGCCUCGGAGACUCUGAUAGUGAUGAUCUCGUGGGUGACCGGGGCAAUUUGCUGUUGUUGGGUAUUUGCUUCCUUGCUCGCUCGCUUGCUUGGAGACAGAUGUUUGCUAUGUUGCUUCUGCUGGCAUCUAAAUCCUGGAAUCAAGUAAUCCUCCUGCCUCAGCCUCCCAGGUAGCUGGGAGUAAGAAUGCAUUUAUCCCACAGUGCCUGACCAUAAACGUCGUGUUUUACAAAGCUCCACAGCCGACUCUCCACCAAGAAAAGAACUACGCCAUGUAGAAGACUAAGGAUUGUUCUAGAAAGCUAGAAAACCUGCCCCUUCUACUGACCAGAGCUUUAACAUGAAUCCUGGUGGGAUGCAGCGUGAUCGUAACAGAGGCCAUGCGUGUUUGGGUAGAACUGUGGAGGGUCACACAGGUUUCACGCCGGCCUCUGAGGAGAUCUCCGUUGUGCUACACAGACUCAGCUGUGAGCUUGGACACUGUAUAUCGUUCCCAUUUUACUGUGGCUCACUUUACUCGAGUGGGAAAAGAAGAUGCGUUCCGGAGAAAUCAUACUUGGACUUGGAGAUUUUGAUCCUUUCCUGGGCUGGCCACACGGAUCUUUGAUGCCUUUUCAUCUAGGGUAGCAGCAGCAAGCUGUUCCCAGGGAGCCCCAUGGCCAUGAAGUAACUGGUCCUACUGUGUUCCCAGGGAGCCCCAUGGCCAUGAAGUGACUGGUCCUAUUGUGUUCCCAGGGAGCCCCAUGCCAUGAAGUGACUGGUCCUACUGUGUUUCCAGGGAGUCCCAUGGCCAUGAAGUGACUGGUCCUACUGUGUUCCGGGCAAAUGAGCCAAGAUGCUUGCCAGACUGGGAUGUCAAGCACACCCUCGACUGCUGCUGGCUUUUCAUUUAUGACGGCUAUGGCCCAGGUGCUCUUGAACCAAACAGCUAGUAAAGUCACGUGCAUCUCAGAGC
rnacentral:lncRNA from 1 species